UACCAGCACCCCGAGUGGUCGGGACGAUUAUUGGGCCUAAAGCAUCCGUAGCCGGUUCUACAAGUCUUCCGUUAAAUCCACCUGCUUAACAGAUGGGCUGCGGAGGAUACUAUAGAGCUAGGAGGCGGGAGAGGCAAGCGGUACUUAGUGGGUAGGGGUAAAAUCCGUUGAUCCAUUGAAGACCACCAGUGGCGAAGGCGACUACCUGGCCUGUUCUUGACGCUGAGGCGCGAAAGCUAGGGGAGCAAACGGG
rnacentral:rRNA from 1 species